AUUGAACGCUGGCGGAAUGCUUUACACAUGCAAGUCGAACGGUAGAGGGGGCAACCCCUCGAGAGUGGCGAACGGGUGAGUAAUAUAUCGGAACGUGCCCAGUCGUGGGGGAUAACGUAGCGAAAGUUACGCUAAUACCGCAUACGAUCUAAGGAUGAAAGCGGGGGAUCGCAAGACCUCGCGCGAUUGGAGCGGCCGAUAUCAGAUUAGGUAGUUGGUGGGGUAAAGGUUCACCAAGCCAACGAUCUGUAGCUGGUCUGAGAGGACGACCAGCCACACUGGAACUGAGACUCGGUCCCGACUCCUACGGGAGGCAGCAGUGGGGAAUUUUGGACAAUGAACGCAAGCCUGAUCCAGCCAUUCCGCGUGCAGGAUGAAGGCCCUCGGGUUGUAAACUGCUUUUGUACGGAACGAAAAAGUCUCUCUUAAUACGGGGGACUCAUGACGGUACCGUAAGAAUAAGCACCGGCUAACUACGUGCCAGCCGCCGCCGUAA
rnacentral:rRNA from 1 species